AGACCAUGAUAUGGACACUUUCUUUGCAAAUCUUUGUCCCUUUUUCAGACUGGAUAUAAAGAAUUCAUCCAAUUGUACAAAACUAGUAAUGUCAUUUCUAAGUUU